GGAAACUGCAGGGAAUAAGAGGGCACUGUGUUUGUAGCAGUAGAAAUUGAUGACUGAAGAAGCACAAGCACAGUCUGUGAGGAAGUUUGCCAGGAAGGCAGGCCUGGGAGAGACUUUAAAGGGCAGCUAGGAUAUCCUAUGACCAAUCCUGCUAGAACUUUGGAAAAAGCUUGAAGUUUCUAGUCAAUACCAGGUCCUCAACAUGGAAACUGGAAGAUAUCUUUCAAGAUCCAGCUGGUCCUGGGGAAUGGACAGAUGUGUGGGACACACAUAUUGAUGGCAGCUCAGCCCAACCUGUAGGAAAAUUGAGUUUGCCCGCACAGAUCUCCAGCUGUCCAAGGAAGACAGACUAUCUGGGGAUUCAGUACUCAGAAGAAUAAAAAGAACAUUCUGCAAGGGACAGAGGGACCACAGGACAGAGUGGUGCCUUCCCAGAGCCAAGGCACAAGAGGUCACUUUAAGACUGAAUUGGCUUCUGAAGCUGACAGUACCAGGAGUCUGAUCCUGUUCCCUCAAAUUUCUCCUCUCUAUGCUCAUGGACAAUGGGUCCCAGCAGUACCUGCCAAGUGACCCUCACAAGCACCAGCCAUAUAGGGAGAGAACUCCAAAGCCUCCAUCUUCCUCAGAUUCACUCCUUCAAAGGCUCCAGGUUCUCUCCCCAUUCCUCCUUCCUGAUGUCAGCACCUGCGCGCUACCAAGUUCAGCACCACCAGAUAGGACUACAGACUCCUUCAGCAAUAACUCACUGACUCACUUACUACCUGUCUAUUCACUUGUCCUAGUCUCAUUAAUUGGUUUUGACCUCUCUGCCUGCUGCUUCACCAUAUCUUCUAUUUCAUUUUCCUAAUCCUUGGUCUGUGCCCAUUUCUUGCCAGGCCUCUCCCCUCUGCAAGACCUCUUCAGCUUUCACACACCUUGUGACUACUACUCUCCUUGCAUCCCACCAAAGGAAACGGAGAGGGAUAAAUUAAAAAAAACACCUUUUAUUCUAUAAAUAAUAUAUAUUUUAAAAGGGGUGAUGUACUGCAUGUUACUGUAACAAUGGAAGCCUCAAACCACUCAUGUAACCUUAUUUUUGUAACCCUUACUAUUCCUUGUCCAACUUUCCUCCACCUCCGCACUGGUCUAUUCAUCUCAUGUGUUGCAUCUUGUCCUAUAUUUAGAUUGUAAAUAUCUCAAGGCAGAAGAUGUCUCUCUUCAUUGUUGUUAGUAUUGUCUGUAAAGCCCCUCCCCCCUACAGAGGUUGCUGUAUUAAUAAAAAGUCAAUAGACAAAUAUCACCAGGCAAAGGACUGGGCCCCAAACCUAUGGUCUUGAACAUCCCAAACUAUAUCCACACUUAAUUGUAGGUCAGAAAUAAAACCAUCUGAACAACUGAUAGAAACUUAGGAGAAUUGGGGCCUGAUCCUACUCACAUUAAAAUCAAUCUGAGUUUUAUCCUUUAUUGUAACAGCUCAAAGAAAUAUGUCAUGUAGUAAGUCUCUAUUUCAUUCUAAUAUAAAAUGUGUAUCCACAGGAUACACAAUAAGACUUUAGUGCAUCUGGUACACAAAAUACUGAAAUGGCCUGAUCCUGCAGUCCUUACUCAGGCAAAUCUCCCACUGAAUGAAUACAAGGGGUUAGGAAAUCCAUGGAUGCUAGUCCUAGCUCUUCUAUGGACUUUGUUAAGCAAGUCAUUUUACCUGUGUGAGAGACUUGGUUUAUACAUCUGUAAAAUUAGGAUAAUGAAUUAAAUGCCUUUGCAAGGGACAUGUGAGCUUUAAUUAAUAUUUGUAAAACAUAUUAACAUCUUCAGAUGCAAUAAGCUACAGAAAUGCAAAGGACAAUGAAUAUGCCAGUUAAGAAAACCAUCGUAUAUCCCAGCAAGGCGUAAGUUGAUAAUUCUUUAAGAAGUUAUGUUCUUGGUAACCCUGGAAAACUGACAGCUGUGAAUGUCUUGACCAGUUGUGCUCUCUGUCAUAUGCAGUUUACUAAAGGACUAGGUAAAUCCAUACAUUUAUAUAAAAUAUGAAUGUACUUGACAUAUAGAAUCUUGUCUUCCAGACUCAACAAUUCAGUUAACAGUAUGUACUAGACUGGAUAGCUUUUCUCAAAUUUUAAGACCUAACUUAGAACAUUUAAAACUCAAAUGUCUGUGGUGUACCUUUGUGGCAAUUUCAACCAGUAUAAUAAGAAUGGAUUUUUAUUCUGAUACAAUACUCUAAAGCAACCUUAUUGCAGGCUCAAUACCACACUUUGAGAACCACUGAUUUAGAGCCAAACAUUAAGGUUCUGAUGCUGCCCUGAGCCCUUCAUCAGGCAAACCUUCCCAAGGUGUCUUAUGCUGGGCUCUAAAAUUAAUGUACAGUUGUGAAAAUGUGAAUGCUAAUAAGCUGCCCAAGUUCAUACAGGAUGUCUGUGAUAGAGGUACAAAUAGGAAAGAAAUCUCCUCAGUCCUGUCCUUUAAUCACUGAAUACCAAAAGCAUAUAGUGUAGUGUAAGAAAAAUUAAAGCAUAAAGUGGGAGGAGUUUCAGUGACUUACUGACAACACUACUACAGACUCUUUAUAGGAAACACUUUGUUUUUCUGUUCAUACCUAUCAGGGCACUGUUAACAAGCCUUCCAAAUCUCUGGAUCAUAAUGUUUGCAAUGUGGUCUGUUGCUUUACAAUUUUCUAUUCGUGGGCUUAUUAUAGUUUACAGCAUACUGAUUCAGCCUUUGUGUUCUUAGUCUAGCACAUAGAGAAUGUGAAUGGUAAGUGGUUGUGAUUUUGCUACAUUCUAUUAAGUGCUCCCACUGAGACCCCUAGUGCUGUGAAUAUUUCCUGCUCUUUUCUUAAUACAAAUUGGAUUCUGAAACCAGGAUGGCUCACAGUGUGAAUGCUAGAAAUGGUCAUGAAUCAUAAAGUCUGGGUACAGAUCCAAGCUUUCUAUAGCUUGGAGAUAUCCAGAGCCAGAGUCUUGGUUUAAUACUAUAGAACUGGGAACUAUAGUAAUAAAAUACUAGCUCUGGCUGCAGACUUCCUGCUAGAGUUUGGCUCUAGCUAUCUCUGUUAUUAUACAUUAAUUAUUUUGUACUCUAUGAUCUACGGUGUCCAAUGGCAUAUUGCAACAGUAAAUUAAGGAUAGUAUAUUUUAAAUGUAUUUUGAUUUUUUUCAGUGCCUGUCCAAAGUUUUAGGUG